CCUACGGGAGGCAGCAGUGGGGAAUAUUGCACAAUGGGCGAAAGCCUGAUGCAGCAACGCCGCGUGAGGGAUGAAGGCCUUCGGGUUGUAAACCUCUUUUAGCAGGGAAGAAGCGAAAGUGACGGUACCUGCAGAAAAAGCACCGGCUAACUACGUGCCAGCAGCCGCGGUAAUACGUAGGGUGCAAGCGUUGUCCGGAAUUAUUGGGCGUAAAGAGCUCGUAGGCGGUUUGUCGCGUCUGCUGUGAAAAUCCGAGGCUCAACCUCGGACCUGCAGUGGGUACGGGCAAGCUAGAGUGCGGUAGGGGAGAUGGGAAUUCCUGGUGUAGCGGUGGAAUGCGCAGAUAUCAGGAGGAACACCAAUGGCGAAGGCACAUCUCUGGGCCGUAACUGACGCUGAGGAGCGAAAGCGUGGGGAGCGAACAGGAUUAGAUACCCUGGUAGUCCACGCCGUAAACGGUGGGUGCUAGUUGUGGGCCACAUUCCACGUGGUCUGUGACGAAGUUAACACAUUAAGCACCCCGCCUGGGGAGUACGGUCGCAAGACUAAAACUCAAAGGAAUUGACGG
rnacentral:rRNA from 1 species